CAGCAGUAACUAUGAAAACAAUCCUGAGAGGGGUCUGAAAAGAAUAUAUCAAACUUCGGCUUCUCCAUCACCAUCUUCAUCAUUGAAAUCGAUGGUUAGGAAUGUGCUACUGGAUUUCUAUCCAGACCCUGGCAGAGGGAGUUGUCCUUGGCAUUUGGUGCCCACCAUGUCCUUGAAGAUCCAGACAAGCAACGUAACCAACAAGAAUGACCCCAAGUCCAUCAACUCCCGGGUCUUCAUCGGAAACCUCAACACAGCUGUGGUGAAGAAGUCAGAUGUGGAGACCAUCUUCUCCAAGUAUGGCCGUGUGGCCGGCUGUUCUGUGCACAAGGGCUAUGCCUUUGUCCAGUAUGCCAACGAGCGCCAUGCCCGAGCAGCUGUGCUGGGAGAGAAUGGGCGGGUGCUGGCAGGGCAGACCCUGGACAUCAACAUGGCUGGUGAGCCCAAGCCCAACAGACCCAAGGGGUUAAAGAGAGCAGCAUCUGCCAUUUACAGUGGCUACAGCUUUGACUAUGAUUACUACCGGGACGACUUCUACGACAGGCCAUGCUGCAGCCUCUGGCCCAUUUGCCCUCACAGGCUCUUCGACUAUCGGGGCCGCCUUUCACCGGUGCCUGUGCCCAGGGCUGUCCCUGUGAAGCGACCCCGGGUCACAGUCCCUUUGGUCCGACGUGUCAAAACCACCAUUCCAGUCAAGCUCUUUGCCCGCUCCACAGCCAUCACCACCAGCUCAGUCAAAAUUAAGUUAAAGAGCAGUGAGCUGCAGGCCAUCAAGACAGAGCUGACACAGAUCAAGUCCAACAUUGACGCCCUGCUGGGCCGCUUGGAACAGAUUGCUGAGGAGCAGAAGGCCAACCCAGAUGGCAAGAAGAAAGGCGACAGCGGCAGCGGCAGCGGCAGCGGCAAUAGUGGUGGCAGCAGCCGGCCACUGGCCCCACAAGAGGACACAACUUCUGAGGCAGGCACACCCCAGGGAGAAGCACAGGUUCGAGAUGACGGCGAUGAGGAGGGGCUGCUGACACACAGCGAGGAAGAGCUGGAGCACAGCCAGGACACAGAUGCAGAGGAAGGGGCCUUGCAGUAAGCAGUCUGACAGGAGCGAUGGCCACUGGAAGGAGAAGGGCGUGCACUGUACCAGGCCUCAGGCUGGGCACCCACCCCUGGAUGCCACCCCAGCAGGUCCCAGAGGAGAGUUGGCAGCAGGCACCUCAUCCCCCAUGCAUCCCAGCCAGUGCCACAUCCUCUGCAGGUAAGUUCCUGCCUUCUCCAUGACCGAUCGAGCAUCAAACCCGCAACCCAGGUACAUCGCCUUGACCGAGAAUCGAACCUGCGACCCAUCGGUGCACUGGCUGACACUCUAACCAUGGAACCACACCAGCCAGGGCUUAAAUUUCUUUAUGUCCUAAGUACAUUAAGGAAACUGAGCUACACUGAAACCAAACUGUGGUCUAUAAUAAAGUAGGGUUGGUAUAGUCCUCACUCGAUAGAGAAGGAUCUGCAAGAUAUUGUGGAAACCUAUAUAGCCCCAUCUCAGUUAUCCUCUCCUAUCUUAAGAAGGACCUAACUGUGUAAAUGAGUAAUUCUGAAAUGCAUUCAGUCUGAAGAACUUAAUUUGGCAAACUUAAAGAAGAACCAGGAGGAAGGAGUUCCCCACUGCUGACCUACUAAGCCACAGGUCACCCUACAUGGAAUGUCCAAGGAGGUAGCUACAGUUCAUACGCACUCCUGAGAUAAGGACAUUUGGCAAAAGGAUCUAGGUACUAUAAGUUUGGUUGUCUUGCAGGGCUUACAAUUCAUUUAUUGCUUUUUUUCCCAAGUAGCAACUACCCUGGAAUAAUAAUUACAUUUAUUAUUACUCAGCAUGACAGACCAAAGAUGGGAGGGGUCCUGAAAUCAAAAGAAGACAGCCUCACAAGUGCCUUAUCCUCUGAAAAACAUUCGUAUUUAACCUACAGGUUAACAGUUUAUUUGUAGCCUUGUAAAGGGUAUGAAACAUGCAGGAAUUAUACUACACUGAAAUAAUUAAUAUCUCUCUUAAUUACUGACUCUGGAUACUUACGACACACUCAUCCCCUCAUUUUAUUCACACCACCUCUGAGUUAAAAAUAAGGAAACCAGGGAUCCCAAAGCAGUGCCCAAAGCAGACCUCCCCCAAACCACAAGGCCAUGUUGGUCUUGACUAAAAAAUUGCUUUUUAAGACUUAAAAGCAAUUUAAGACUGUUGUUAUCUCUAGGUGAAAGGAUUCUAGAUUUUUAUUUCUCUUUGUAUUCUUCUGCAUUCUGUACACUUAGUACAACACACAUUCCAUUUUUAAAUCAGAAACUUCUUUAGCUUAAAGCUUCUUUUGUAAACUACCUUACUGUGUUGUAUGAAAACCCAAUGUUCUGACACUUAGUGAACAGGAUCUAGUAAUAAGCAAUCUUAACUAUUGACAGCACUUUUAAAAAAUUGGUCUGGAAAAUAACGAAUGCCUACAGGUUUGAGGAUUUUUCCUUACAGGCAUCACCCAUAUUUCUCAAAUACAGCUUUUUAAAGGUCUUGGUUCCACUAGGUUAAAAAAGGCUAUGUUGUGGUGAAUUCUGGCUUAAUUAUCAGAUAUAAAAAGAAAUGUGUACAGCCCUGGCCGGGUUGCUCAGUUGGUUAGAGGAUCAUUCCUGAGCCAAGAUUGUGGAUUCGAACCCCUGGUCAGGGCACAUACGAGAAUCAACCAAUGAAUGCAUAGAUAAGUGGGACAACAAACUGAUGUUUCUCUCUCUUCCCUCCUUUCUCUAAAAUAAAAAAGAACCGUGUACAGCUUACUUUC